AUACGUAGGGUGCGAGCGUUAUCCGGAUUUAUUGGGUUUAAAGGGUGCGCAGGCGGGAGAUUAAGUCGGCGGUGAAAUUUUGCAGCUCAACUGUAAAAGGGCCUUCGAAACUGGUUUCCUUGAGUGUAGAUGAAGUAGGCGGAAUUUGUGGUGUAGCGGUGAAAUGCAUAGAUAUCACGAGGAACUCCGAUUGCGCAGGCAGCUUACUAAACUACUACUGACGCUCAGGCACGAAGGUGUGGGGAUCAAACAGGAUUAGAUACCCUGGUAGUCCACGCAGUAAACGAUGAUUACUAGCUGUUUGCGAUACAAUGUAAGCGGCUGAGCGAAAGCGUUAAGUAAUCCACCUGGGGAGUACGUUCGCAAGAAUGAAACUUAAAGGAAUUGACGGGG
rnacentral:rRNA from 1 species